GUGGUGCUGCCUCCUCUUCUUGCCCAUUCCCCAAUGACAGGAUUCCUUUGUGAUGAGAAGGCACAGCUCUGUGACAUAGGCCUGGGUACCAUUCCCCAUUCCUGAAGAGAAUUCUCAGGACUUAUUUGUCCAAGUGACACAGUGAAAUUCAGAUGAGGGAGAAUCCUCUCUUUCCUCUAAAUAGUGUUAAUGCCACAUGGCUGAAACCCAGUUUCAUCACCUGGGCAAUGGAUAUGAUCCUUGCCUUUGCAUGUGGCCUGGGGAUCUUUCUCCUUUUUUUUUUUUUUUUUGGCCCCACCUGCAGGGUAAUCCAUCCUUCCCACUACCAAGGAAAAAAGAAAAAGGAAGGGUUUCCAUUAGCUAACUGUAGAAGUCCUGCUGUUCAGAAACAUGGAAUAUCUACAACUGGUCAAGGAGAGCAUAGAGAGAAAUGGGCCUCAGCCUCUUUUUCUAUAUCGUCUGUCAGCAUGUGAAGGUGAAGAAAGUGCUGUACUAGAGGAGGAAGAAGAGUGGACCUCUGAAAGCUUUGGGAAAUCACCUGAAGACAAUCUGAUGGAGAUUCAGAAUCUGACUUUACUCCUGCAAAGAACAGAUAACCUGACAUUUGGUGGAGUACCCAGGACUAGGGAACUCUGGCUGUGACUCAGUCUGGGGACUUUUACACAAAUACAUGGCCUUAGCACUGCUUCCAUGGACAAACCUCUAGGGUGGACCCAGCAACAAGAAUGGAGCUUGGAACAAGAAGGACUGGAAAGGAUCUGGAGUCUUUAGCCUAUCAUUGCUGGAUUAUCUCAGGGAUGCAAACUGUAACUUACAGGAAUAAAGGGGCUGAACAUGAA